AAUUGAAAUUCAAUAAAGAAUUGAUUAGAAAGUGCACAGUUACAUCUAUUAUAAUAAUCUUGAAUUUAAUCAAUUUGUAAUGAAAAAAAACUAAUGUAGACUCUUACUAACUUAAAAAAAAUACACCUUCUUCAUCUCUUUUAUAAUUCUAAGAAUAGUUUAUAAGAUUGAUGUAUUCAAAGGCAUCAAUAAAAAAGAAGUGUGAUUUGAAAUAAUUCCAAUUAUUAUUUUUAUCCACAAAAAGAAGUUUUAUCUCUUGCAUAUUCAACCUUAUUCUAAUCACUAUAAAUGUAAGUGGUAUCGGAAGGUAAUAAUUUUGUAAGAUUUGGACACAUCUUACUAUAUUCUUGAUACUUACUAGAAGUAUAUGUUAACAAUGUGUACAGAUUUGCCAAAUAUACAAUUAAUAGUAAUCAAAAGAAUCUUAUUAUGUAUAAGAUCUAAACAAUAUUGUCUUAUUGAAAAAGAAACAAGUAUACAAACUCCACCAACACUUGUAUUGUCCAAGUUGUUUACAUAGUUAGGUACAACUUUUAAUAUAAAAACAAAAAAAUCCACACAUUUGGCCAUAAAAUCCAUCCCAGAUAUCGUACUCUAGAGCCACGUAGUUUAUGCUCUUGAAUGAGAAGCAUAUUUAUUAUUGCACAUAGAAAUACAAAAACUUAACAUAUGAAAUGCUUAUCGACACACUUAACUUGCUCAAGCCUUUGCUACACUGCAAUUCGAAAACCAGAACAAUCCAUGAUUGCCCUGGACGAGCUUAAGGUCACAGUUCUGAAUUCAUGUAAGUUGCUGCAGAUGCUAACAAUAAGUAACAAAAUAUGAACUGCGCAAGUGCUGUGGGGAACUAUAUCAAAGCCAAAAAAUACUUUAGCGCAAAAUAACAAAAAUCUAAAAUAAGACUUGAUUGCUAAGUGGAGGAGGUGCAAGUGAAAACAAGAACCAAUUUGAACUCGUGAGGAUAACUCUACUUCCGGUCACGUUGAUCAAAAUUCCGACACAUGAGACUUAACUACACAAAACAAUAAUGUAAAUUAUCGUUAUUGAGCAAUUAUGUCAAUCCUACCAAAGGGCUUCAAAGAAAUAUUUCAUUUCAGCUCGUUCAACGCCUUUUUGGCGGCAAUAUCAUCACCAUGACAGUUGUGAAGCGCGAACAAAAUACAAAAUAAUGAAAUAAUAUAAAUAAAUAAAUAAUUGCCGGUGCUAGAAAUCAAACCUUCACCUUAAAACAAAGUGAUUCAAAAUCAUGUCAGUAACAGGUUGAUUCAAUCUUAAGAGGAACUCACAAAGGUCCGAAAACUAAUUUGAGAACCGCACCGAACGCAGAACACUCAAACCACUGACGACAGCACGCCCUGAAUUAGCUAUGGCCAUGGCCAAGUUCUAGUGGUAUUCUCAUACUCCAAAUCUAUUGAUUCCUUGAGCUCCACUAGACCUUCGAAAAACCAUCAAAUACAUUUCACUACAUACGAAAGCGGAAAAAAAAAAAAAAAACAAACAAACAAACAAACAAAACAAAACAAAACAACAAACACACAUACACACACAGCAAUUGGAUCGAUACGGAAGCAGAAAACAACGCCAAGCAAAAGUUGCCGUGAUGGAAAAUGACCACAACGCAAACGAGAACGCUCGAGCGGGAGCGUCAAUGGCAGCAGCAGCAGCACGGCGUGGCCUGAUGACAGCAAAAGACCUCUCUCUCUCUCUCGGGUUUCAAAUCCCAAUUCAGAGGCGAAACCCUUUUCUUCAAAGAAACCCUUAGUCCACAUUUGGCAGGGCUGCUUAGAGGUCCUCUUUAU
rnacentral:lncRNA from 1 species